UAAGAUGAAGCAAAAAGGGGGGUAAUUCUGAAAUACAAAAAAAUUUAUUUUAACUUGAAAAGUUGAUCAGUUGGGAAGUCUACUUCGCUGUUUAGACUAUUUCUAACAGACUAGGAAAUGGCCCUGAAUAUCAAAUGUUUCCCUACCCUCGAGAGUAGCUGUCAGAAUUCUUCUUUGCAUUUUAUCGUUAUUUUCAAAACUGUACGUUCUUUUUUCAUUUUAGAGAUGGGACAGCUGGAAAAGCAUGUUUUAACUGCUUCAGUUUCAUGGAUGCAUCUAUGAUAUAUUGAAUUAUACCUGAGAACGUUCUCUUUUCAAACGAAAGGAUUGCCUUUGAAUUUGAA